CAACUAGAUGAGCUGCCUAUAGAAGUUUCUUCCUUCCUGUAAUUUGGAUGUUCGUUGCUGUUUUGAUGUUCAGAGUGUUAGUACAUGACCCGAAAGCUAACAUUCAAUACAUUUUGGGAAAAAAAAGCUCCAGUCUCUUCAUUUUUGGUGACCUGACCGAUACCUCAUCAGUGUUUACUGAUAUAUAGUUAGAGCCAGAGUCUAGCAGUGUCACACUUGACUUCCAACACUGAAAGCGUAUUCACAAAUUUGUAAAGCAACUUGUAAAGCUGCUGUUCAACACGACAGUUCAGAGGAAGAAAAAGACAGAUGUACAAACACUGAGAUGAGGACGCGCUGAGAGGAACAGGCUGAGCUUGUUUAUCUCACAAACAGAACGCGAGCGUGACUACAGCAGCUGACGAGAGGAUCUUAUACAGUGCAAUUGUUUGUGAUCUGAUACCUGCACAACAGAUGAAUCCUGCAAACUUUUCCUCUGAGCACUGUACCAACAUCAGAUCUUCAGCUACACUUAUUUUCUAUUGGUAAAACAAGUUCCUUGUCUACUGAUGAUGAGUUUUGCAAGCACUUAAAUAUCAGGUAUGAUUUACUUGUGUUACUUGUUGAACAAAAUUCAGAAAACAGUUUUCAGGAAUUACACAAUAUCUGUUCACAUCUCUGUGGUUAGAUCAGUGUGCUUAAUAAUGUGUUGUUGACCUUUAUAAUGUAUGUUUAUAUUAUACUGUGUUGUAAAUAAAAUACAGAUAAUCUA